rnacentral:tRNA from 1 species
GGGGAUUUAGCUCAGUGGUAGAGCACUUGCCUAGCAAGCACAAGACCCUGGGUUCGGUCCCCAGCUCCCCCC